GGGGAUUUAGCUCAGUGGCAUAAGCACCUGCCUGGCAAGCAUGAAGUUAUGAGUUCAAUCCCCA
rnacentral:tRNA from 1 species